UACGUAGGUGGCAAGCGUUGUCCGGAUUUACUGGGUGUAAAGGGCGUGCAGCCGGAGAGGCAAGUCAGAUGUGAAAUCCGCGGGCUCAACCCGCGAACUGCAUUUGAAACUGCUUCCCUUGAGUAUCGGAGAGGUAAUCGGAAUUCCUAGUGUAGCGGUGAAAUGCGUAGAUAUUAGGAAGAACACCAGUGGCGAAGGCGGAUUACUGGACGACAACUGACGGUGAGGCGCGGAAGCGUGGGGAGCAAACAGG
rnacentral:rRNA from 1 species